UACGUAGGGGCUAGCGUUGUCCGGAAUCAUUGGGCGUAAAGCGCGUGUAGGCGGCCCGGUAAGUCCGCUGUGAAAGUCGGGGCUCAACCUCGGAUGCCGGUGGAUACUGUCGGGCUAGAGUGCGGAAGAGGCGAGUGGAAGUUCCUGGUGUAGCGGUGAAAUGCGCAGAUAUCUGGAGGAACACCGGUGGCGAAGGCGGCAUCCUGGACCAACACUGACACUGAGGAGCGAAAGCCAGGGGAGCAA
rnacentral:rRNA from 1 species